UACGUAGGGUGCGAGCGUUAAUCGGAAUUACUGGGCGUAAAGCGUGCGCAGGCGGUUGUGCAAGACAGAUGUGAAAUCCCCGGGCUUAACUUGGGAACUGCAUUUGUGACUGCACGGCUAGAGUGUGUCAGAGGGGGGUAGAAUUCCACGUGUAGCAGUGAAAUGCGUAGAUAUGUGGAGGAAUACCGAUGGCGAAGGCAGCCCCCUGGGAUAACACUGACGCUCAUGCACGAAAGCGUGGGGAGCAAACAGG
rnacentral:rRNA from 1 species